AGUCGAGGGGUAACAUGAGAGCUUGCUCUUGAUGACGACCGGCGAACGGGUGCGUAACGCGUAUGCAACCUACCCACAACUGGAGCAUAGCCCGGAGAAAUUCGGAUUAAUACUCCAUAAUGCAGGGGUACCGCCUGGUACUAUUUGCUAAAGAUUUAUCGGUUGUGGAUGGGCAUGCGUCUGAUUAGUUAGUUGGUGAGGUAACGGCUCACCAAGACCGCGAUCAGUAGGGGGUCUGAGAGGAUGAUCCCCCACACUGGCACUGAGAUACGGGCCAGACUCCUACGGGAGGCAGCAGUAGGGAAUAUUGGGCAAUGGGCGAGAGCCUGACCCAGCCAUGCCGCGUGAAGGAUGAAGGCCUUCUGGGUUGUAAACUCCUUUUAUACAGGAAGAAAAAGGUCAUGCGUGACCAAUUGACGGUACUGUAUGAAUAAGCACCGGCUAACUCCGUGCCAGCAGCCGCGGUAAUACGGAGGGUGCAAGCGUUGUCCGGAUUUAUUGGGUUUAAAGGGUGCGUAGGCGGUACGCUAAGUCAGUGGUGAAAUCCCGCAGCUCAACUGCGGAACUGCCAUUGAUACUGGCGUACUUGAGUACAGACGAGGUAGGCGGAAUUUAUGGUGUAGCGGUGAAAUGCAUAGAUACCAUAAAGAACACCGAUAGCGAAGGCAGCUUACUAGACUGUAACUGACGCUGAGGCACGAAAGCGUGGGGAGCGAACAGGAUUAGAUACCCUGGUAGUCCACGCCGUAAACGAUGAUCACUC
rnacentral:rRNA from 1 species